GAUGAACGCUGGCGGCGUGCCUAAUACAUGCAAGUCGAGCGAACGGACGAGAAGCUUGCUUCUCUGAUGUUAGCGGCGGACGGGUGAGUAACACGUGGAUAACCUACCUAUAAGACUGGGAUAACUUCGGGAAACCGGAGCUAAUACCGGAUAAUAUUUUGAACCGCAUGGUUCAAAAGUGAAAGACGGUCUUGCUGUCACUUAUAGAUGGAUCCGCGCUGCAUUAGCUAGUUGGUAAGGUAACGGCUUACCAAGGCAACGAUGCAUAGCCGACCUGAGAGGGUGAUCGGCCACACUGGAACUGAGACACGGUCCAGACUCCUACGGGAGGCAGCAGUAGGGAAUCUUCCGCAAUGGGCGAAAGCCUGACGGAGCAACGCCGCGUGAGUGAUGAAGGUCUUCGGAUCGUAAAACUCUGUUAUUAGGGAAGAACAUAUGUGUAAGUAACUGUGCACAUCUUGACGGUACCUAAUCAGAAAGACACGGCUAACUACGUG
rnacentral:rRNA from 1 species